GACGAACGCUGGCGGCGUGCUUAACACAUGCAAGUCGAACGGAAAGGCCCUGCUUUUGUGGGGUGCUCGAGUGGCGAACGGGUGAGUAACACGUGAGUAACCUGCCCUUGACUUUGGGAUAACUUCAGGAAACUGGGGCUAAUACCGGAUAGGAGCUCCUGCUGCAUGGUGGGGGUUGGAAAGUUUCGGCGGUUGGGGCUGGACUCGCGGCUUAUCAGCUUGUUUGUGGGGUAGUGGCUUACCAAGGCUUUGACGGGUAGCCGGCCUGAGAGGGUUACCGGCCACAUUGGGACUGAGAUACGGCCCAGAAUCCUACGGGAGGCAGCAGUGGGGAAUAUUGCACAAUGGGCGGAAGCCUGAUGCAGCAACGCCGCGUGCGGGAUGACGGCCUUCGGGUUGUAAACCGCUUUCGCCUGUGACGAAGCGUGAGUGACGGUAAUGGGUAAAGAAGCACCGGCUAACUACGUG
rnacentral:rRNA from 1 species